UACGAAGGGGGCUAGCGUUGCUCGGAAUCACUGGGCGUAAAGCGCACGUAGGCGGAUUGCUAAGUCAGGGGUGAAAUCCUGGAGCUCAACUCCAGAACUGCCUUUGAUACUGGCGAUCUCGAGUCCGGGAGAGGUGAGUGGAACUGCGAGUGCAGAGGUGAAAUUCGUAGAUAUUCGCAAGAACACCAGUGGCGAAGGCGGCUCACUGGCCCGGUACUGACGCUGAGGUGCGAAAGCGUGGGGAGCAAACAGG
rnacentral:rRNA from 1 species